rnacentral:rRNA from 1 species
GAUGAACGCUAGCGGCAGGCCUAAUACAUGCAAGUCGAACGGUGUCUUCGGACAUAGUGGCGCACGGGUGCGUAACACGUAUGCAACCUACCUUACAUUGGGGGAUAGCCUUUCGAAAGGGAGAUUAAUACCGCAUAAGACAGUAGCUGGGCAUCCAGCAGCUGUUAAAGAUUUAUCGAUGUAAGCUGGGCAUGCGUCCAAUUAGCUAGUUGGUGAGGUAACGGCUCACCAAGGCAAUGAUUGGUAGGGGAACUGAGAGGUCAAUCCCCCACACUGGCACUGAGAUACGGGCCAGACUCCUACGGGAGGCAGCAGUAGGGAAUAUUGGGCAAUGGACGCAAGUCUGACCCAGCCAUGCCGCGUGCAGGAUGAAGGCGUUAUGCGUUGUGAACUGCUUUUAUACAGGAAGAAACGACUCAUGCGAGAGGCAUUGACGGUACUGUAUGAAUAAGCACCGGCUAACUCCGUGCCAGCCGCCGCGGUAACAC